UCUGACUAUAUUAUCGACGUGUGCCGACC
rnacentral:sRNA from 1 species